GAUGAACGCUGGCGGCGUGCCUAAUACAUGCAAGUCGAGCGAACAGACGAGGAGCUUGCUCCUCUGACGUUAGCGGCGGACGGGUGAGUAACACGUGGAUAACCUACCUAUAAGACUGGGAUAACUUCGGGAAACCGGAGCUAAUACCGGAUAAUAUAUUGAACCGCAUGGUUCAAUAGUGAAAGACGGUUUUGCUGUCACUUAUAGAUGGAUCCGCGCCGCAUUAGCUAGUUGGUAAGGUAACGGCUUACCAAGGCGACGAUGGGUAGCCGACCUGAGAGGGGGAUCGGCCACACUGGAACUGAGACACGGUCCAGACUCCUACGGGAGGCAGCAGUAGGGAAUCUUCCGCAAUGGGCGAAAGCCUGACGGAGCAACGCCGAGUGAGUGAUGAAGGUCUUCGGAUCGUAAAACUCUGUUAUUAGGGAAGAACAAAUGUGUAAGUAACUAUGCACGUCUUGACGGUACCUAAUCAGAAAGCCACGGCUAACUACGUG
rnacentral:rRNA from 1 species